ACCUGGGAAGCACGCAGGACGGACGGACGGGAUGAGUAAAGCUCAGGACCUCCGAGACGUCUCACUUUCACCAUUCAUUCGGGGCGCUGGGAGGUGGAGGCCUCAGCAUUUCCUAACUUAUUUUUUUAUGAAGCACUCGCCUCACCCAGUAGACUGAGAGUGUGCUCCCCGUUGACCUCGGCUCAGAAAGAAGGGAAGUCCGAUGCUAAGUUCCUCUUCCUCUACCACGGGCUCCACGCACCCCAAGACCCCCCGGGAGGUCCCGAUCCUCCUUCAGAACCAGAGCACAAGGACCGUCUUUCAUGCUCUUUUCUUGGUAGAACCUGACCUGUUGCAGAGCCGAGCGCCCCGCCUCUGUCUUGGGCACGUGACAGUCAGCCCUCAGGAACUUAGGUCCAGACCAAUAACGGACUUGUUGGCAUCCCCUCAUCUCCCAGUUAUGAAUUCCUUGGGUUCCGUGUGUCUCUACGUUCCAGUUGGUAGCACCUAACGAGUCUGCUGAAUGGAUUUUCCCUUAGUUUGAAUCCCUGCCUGGUUUGGCCAUAAGAAAACAAAUACCAUUCAUGGGGUGUGUGACAUAGACGCUGGUGCUCCCCAAUUAUUCCAUGAGAUCCUGCAUAUUUUCCAGCCUUCCUGGCACUUAGCAUGGAGCCAGGUGACAAAUUUAAGUUCACGGGCUCAAGGGGGAGUGAAGCAAUGCACAGCACUUGCCACCCGAGGACAUCGAGGAGGCUGAAAGCUGCACGCAUCUGCCGCGGUGGCUGGAAGCGAAGAACGCUGAGACGGUGAAGGGGCCACAGGGAGCAUUGCUAAGCGCACCACUGCUGAAAGGCGGCCACCAGAGAGGAUGGGCUGACCUGUAUCAGACUGCUCCGAAAGUGACAAAUAAGCCUCUGGCUUUGGAGGUUUGCUGCCACAGCAAAACUUAGCUUUACCCUGACCAACCGCGGGUGAGUUUCACAAGCUGAAAGUGUAAGGAGGAGACAAGCCCGUGGAAUAUGACAGCAUCACUGGCUAGCAACAUCUUCUGAUAUCCUGGAAUUAGUCGGGAUGGGCCAUGGAUCUGGAUCUGAAACUUUUAAAUCGAAAUGGGGACAAGAGCAUCCCUAUGACGUCAUUGGAGAAUCUGAGGCAUAGAGAAGCGAAGGGAUGGGCUUCUCGGAUUAGGAGUGAGCGAAGCAUGAGAACAGAGACCUCAAUUUCCCCUGGGCUGUUUCCCACCCUUCCUAGUUGGGAUUUCUCCUCCCCCAGCAUUUGUGCCCUUUGAGUUAGUAUUCUAGGCAUGAGACUGACCUAUUUCGAAGUGGGACAGGUUGGCGUCUCUAAAGCGGGUUCCACAGAAGACUCUGUUUUGAAGCAACAUGGUGGUAAAGAGGUUAACAUUGAAUGGGAGUUUUACUUCCAGGCAGGGAUCUCGAGCCCUGGUGGAAAGACUGCAGCUGCCCUGUGGCCCAGAUAAUGCAACAUCGGGCUGAGCAAGGACAUCUGAGAACAUUCUGUUCUCCUCCCCCGAGACCAAUUAAAAUCUGGAGGCAUCUUUCUUGUUGAUCGAGCUGACUAACUAAUUGAAACGGAAUUGUGAUAUUUUCAUCAGCUUUCUCUUAUCCCUCUUGGCCUUGCCAGCAGAGAGCAAGUUGAAUGAUCAGAGAGUUUCAAGCAUGUGAGGCCCAGGGAACGGAACCCCUCUCACCGUAAACCACUACAUUUCCACGGAACAAGGUUCGAAAAAGGAUGAUGCGGGGUCGAGAGUAGGGCGAUACGCUCAAAUCUCAGUCUCAGUUCAUCCAGAUACCAAAGAUACCAUCUUCGGGAUUCCUGAUGAACCAUAAAGCUGUCCUUCAGCAGUUGCUGCUCCAAUAAACCAGCUUCUGACCUCUGCCUUCCUAACGAACAUCCCUCUGCCUGACUGCGGAAGCUCCUAGAAACAAAGAACCAAACGCCUCUGAGGCCCAACAAGAUCCCUUUCCUUCCAUUGAGCUAGAAUGUAUUUCCUCGGCACGUGCAAAUGGCCUAGUGGUUAAUCUUAGCAAUUGUCCCAAAGGACAUCCAAGCCUCUGGGAAUGGGUUACAUGAUUGAGAUUGCAGGACCUUUUUCUGCUUCAGCAUGAAGACCUGCAUGUUAGCAUUUGUGAGGAGAGCUCAAGAUGGGGGGAAGUCCUCUUGGCUCCUGAUCUAAGGAAGAGCUGCGUCUUAAGCAUUGGUAGAAUUGCUCAUGUGUCCAGUGUGAGGUGGCCUUGGCUGACAAGCUAUCAAAAUAAAUAAAUAACAAGAAAAU
rnacentral:lncRNA from 1 species